rnacentral:misc_RNA from 1 species
UCCGGCUUAACGUCGGCAGUCUACCUAGAGUGCCCAACUUAAUGGUGGCAACUAAGUACGAGGGUUGCGCUCGUUGCGGGACUUAACCCAACACCUCACGACACGAGCUGACGACAGCCAUGCAGCACCUAACCAUAGGUUCCCCGAAGGGCACCUCGAACUUUCGCCCGAGUUCCUACGCUUUCUAGCCCAGGUAAGGUUCUUCGCGUUGCGUCGAAUUGAACCACAUGCUCCGCUGCUUGUGCGGGUCCCCGUCAAUUCCUUUGAGUUUUAGCCUUGCGGCCGUACUCCCCAGGCGGGGCACUUAAUGCGUUAGCUUCGGCACCGGAGGAGUCGACACCUCCGACACCUAGUGCCCAUCGUUUACAGCGUGGACUAC